AACCUUAUGGACCUGCGGGCGUAUACCUGCGGAGGGAUCAUUACCGAGUUAGGGUAGUCACUCACUGCCCGACCUCCCAACCCUGUGUCUACCACACUUUGUUGCUUCGGCGGACCGGUUGACCAACUGGUCGUGACCGCCGGGGGCUGGUUCUGUCCCCCCUGGAGAGCGUCCGCCGAUGGCCACACCACAAAAACUCUUGUACCGAAACGUGUCGUCUGAAUUAUAUUUGAGAAAUCA
rnacentral:misc_RNA from 1 species